rnacentral:rRNA from 1 species
ACCAGCACGUUAUGGUGGGCGACUCUAAGGAGACUGCCGGUGGACAAACCGGAGGAAGGUGGGGAGUGACGUCAAGUCAUCAUGGCCCUUACGGCCUGGGCUACACACGUGCUACAAUGGUCGGUACAAAGGGUUGCCAAGCCGCGAGGUGGAGCUAAUCCCAUAAAACCGAUCGUAGUCCGGAUCGCAGUCUGCAACUCGACUGCGUGAAGUCGGAAUCGCUAGUAAUCGUGAAUCAGAAUGUCACGGUGAAUACGUUCCCGGGCCUU